rnacentral:lncRNA from 1 species
CUACUCCACAGAGUGAAUACAGAUAUCUCUGGAGCUCCACGGGAGACACCAGCCCUUCCAGAAUGGAUGGCAAGCAACAGCAGCACGCUGUGGAUAUGGACCAAAACCCCACUGAGUUGGCGACGGCAAAGCCGAGGUCACCCUGGAAAACGUUUCUGCUGUGUCUGCUGGCCUGUCUCAUUGCCACAGCCCUUGUUGUUCUGCUCUUCUAUUUUGUCCACUUGGGUAAGCCCGCCGCCGGCACCACCAUCGUCAUUCAUGCCGACGGCAAGUCCAAUCAUGUCGCCUGCAUUCCUGGUGCUGCCCCAUCUCCGGGCCCAUCCUCCCUGCCUGUAUCUCAGAGCACUCUGCCUCCUACCUCGGGGACCAACCACAGCUCCUCUACCCCGGGGCUCCCAACUCCUACAGAGACGACCAUGAGCUCAACGUUGGUCCACGAAGUUGAAAUUGAAGAUGAAGAAUGACAUUUGGAGGGGUCUUUAGCCCUCCUCAAACCGGAUCCAUCCACUGAUCCUGAACGAGGCAUGUCCAAGGUAUUCUCCCCUCCAGCCGAGAGGUUCCAAAACGUUUAGCUUUAUGAGACUUGCCCUCUUGCUCAGUCAUUUGCUGUGUCCCAUAUGAGAAUGACGUCAGUGUUCUCAGUCGAGGACCCUCCAGUCUUCAAAUGAUUGGAAAAGAAAAAUUUAAACUGAGCUCAGUUGAUUCAUCCUGGCUAGGGCCCAGAGUUUCCUUUCAUCCUGUACACCCCAUCUUAAUCUCAUUAGUGAGGAUUUCAAUUGCUGGAGAAGCUGCCUGCCUCCUGGAUAUUGGUUCUCAAGCCAGUAUUUACGAUCCAGUUGUUGAUUAUUUCCCAAUCUCAUAUACUUGACUCUUCUAGGUAUUUGUAUUCCAGUACUCUUGCCUGGAAAAUCCCAUGGACAGAGGACCCUGGUAGGCUGCAGUUCAUGGGGUCGCUACGAGUCAGACACAGACACGACAGAGCGACUUCACUUUCACUUUUCACUUUCAUGCAUUGGAGAAGGAAAUGGCAACCCACUCCAGUGUUCUUGCCUGGAGAAUCCCAGGCACGGGCGAGCCUGGUGGGCUGCCGUCUAUGUGGUCGUACAGAGUCAGACACGACUGAAGCGACUUAGCAGCAGCAGCAGGGCAACAAGAAAGUGUUCAAUUAAUGUGGUUAACGAACACAAAUUAUUAUGGAACUAUUCAUCAUUACAGAAGCUUUCUUACUAUUGGGUGAAAGGAGGGCACAUUAAUGAGGUUAGAAAUGAGAAAUGUUUCAGAGAAGGGCUGAAAGUUAAACAAAGGUGGAAGUUUAAGGGGAGAUCAUUAAAACACAAAACGAGAGGGCUAAGGGGAUUGAAUAGAUUGAAAAUCCAAAACACACUUAGAAACACUUCAAAUAUAACAAAUGGUGUAUUUUCUCUAUACUUUUUUUCUGAUAUUAUCAAUAUUAUUUUCUGUACUUUAUAUUUUGCUUAAAGUAUUAUAAACUGCUGCUUAUAAAAUUUGAACUUUUAUUUUGUCUUAUACUUUGUAAAUUUGACGGCACAUGGCUUAUAAUUUGGUGUGAAACACAAGACCCUUGUUCAAUGUUACUUGUAUUUAGAGUGUUUAACACUCACUAGAAACAUAAUCACUUUAUUCUGGAGACUUUGGGGUUAAAAUCAACCUGCCCAUUCCAUCCUCAACUUCCAAACUCUACAAAAGAGGAAGACUGGUUCAGAGAAGGCAGCUCCUGUUCAGACUCAGACCCUACGGGUGGCAGCAGAUCCAGGAUCUCUUUGGCACAGCAUCGGAGGUUCUAAAUAGGUUCCAAAAGCAUUAAAAGAUUUUAUGUUAUAUGCCAUUCUAGGUUCAUUUGCUAUAGCCAAUAAUAGAACAUGUAAAUUACACAAACCUUGGGGCUUUAUUGAGUAAUUAUGCUCUGCCAAAGAAAAAUUAGAAAUGCGGUCAUUUUCUAGGUAAUUGUUAUUUUAGGGAAGCUAGUAUUAUUUCUCAGACACAGGGAAAUGUAAAAUUUUGAGACUUUGAAAAGUUUUUCAAACAGUUUACCAACAUUAUUUGAUAAUAGAAUUUAAGAAUGAUAAACAGCAUUAUAUAAAUUUUACAAAUUUCACAAAGCUCUAGAUGAGAUUAAUGGGCUAAAAGGAGAAAGUGUGCAUGCAUUUCUCCCUUGUAGAGUUUUUUUUUUUAAAUUAGAGGACAAUUGCUUUACAGUGUUGUGUUGGCUUCUGCCCCACGACAAGGUGAAUCAGCCACGAGUAUUUAUGUAUAUGUGUGUGUGCUUAGUCGCUUAGUCAUGUCUGACUCUUUGCGAGCCCAUGGACUGUAGCCCACCAGGCUCCUCUGUCCAUUCUCCAGGUAAGAAUACUGGAGUGGGUCGCCAUGCCCUUCUCCAGAAGAUCUUCCCGACCCAGGGACUGAACCUGGGUCUCCUGCAUUACAAGCAGAUUCUUUACCAUCUGAGCUACAGGGGGGUUCCUAUUUCUAUUUAUCCCCUCCCUCUUUAGCCUCCGUCCCACCCCACGCCUCCAGGUGGUCACAGAGCACCGAGCCAAGCGCCCCAUGUCACACAGCAGCUCCUGGCUAGCUCUCUGCUUUGCACGCAAUAGUGUAUCUAUCUAUGUCAGCGCUCCUCUCUGCAUUCACCCCACCCUCCCCUUCCCCACUGUGUCCACAAGCCCCUUCUCUCUGUCUGCAUCUCUAUUCCUGCCCUGAAAAUAAGGUCAUCAGGAUCAAUUUUCUAGAUUCCAUAUAUAUGUGUUAAUAUACAAUAUUUGUUUUUCUCUUUUUGACUUAACUUCAGUCUGUAUAACAGGCUCCUGGUUCAUCCACCUCAGUUUAACUCACUCACAUUAAUUCCUUUUCGUGGCUACUAGUAGAGUUUUAAAUCAAUUCAUUUCUAUUGUGUUUUUGAUUUAUAUGCUUGUGAAGAAGAAAGAUUGAAUUCCCUAGUUUCAGAUGUACUUCCUUAUAUGAUUUAAAUUUUGCUUUGCAAUAUAAAAGAAAAAAAACUUUUAAUACAAAGAUCUCAGAAUGUACCAUUAAUAAAGAAUUUAAAAGAAAAUUUCA